GAUAAGACCGUCUUUUAGUUUUUCGAUACAAUAAUAUUUUGACUAUUCGUCUUAUUUGAAAUUUUUUUGUGAUUAAUAUUUUUAUUCUUACUAGAUGAUAAAAUAUAAAUAGUAUUUUAUGUAUGACUAAUUUUUUAAAGUUUUUUAUAAAUUUUUUAAAUAAGACGAAUGGUUAAACGUUGGCAUGGAAAAUC
rnacentral:pre_miRNA from 1 species